CUCAAUAUGGAGCAAAUUUGAAUGUCGAACUGCAGCAACGAUCGGUUGAAUACUCACAGCUCUUUAGUGCAUUUAAUCACAUGAGAUCAGCCUUGUUAGAAAGGAUGCCAUCGGCAGAUGUUAAGGCGUCAGCUAGUGUCAAUGACACAAACGGAGCAUGAGAGUCUCUACCUACAGAAGCAAAUGGAGCAACUUUACCUGGUUUACAAGCAGCACCACUACCUAUUAAACCUGCAUCUCAAGAAGCCAGUCUUCUAGAUUUGUUGGGAUAUUCUGAAGCAGUAGCUGAACAGCCAGUGUCCAGUCAAGCUGGCAAUGAGCUGCUGGACAUCUUGGGAGGUCUGUCUGUAUCAGCACCAGCUGCAGUUCAGCCUGUGCAGUCUAAUGCUCCAUCUUCUGGCUCAGGCUAAAUGGAUUUAUUGGGUGGCGGAACCCCACCUUCA